rnacentral:rRNA from 1 species
AUUGAACGCUGGCGGCAGGCCUAACACAUGCAAGUCGAGCGGAUGAAGGUAGCUUGCUAUCUGAUUCAGCGGCGGACGGGUGAGUAAUGCCUAGGAAUCUGCCUGGUAGUGGGGGACAACGUUUCGAAAGGAACGCUAAUACCGCAUACGUCCUACGGGAGAAAGUGGGGGAUCUUCGGACCUCACGCUAUCAGAUGAGCCUAGGUACGAUUAGCUAGUUGGUGAGGUAAAGGCUCACCAAGGCGACGAUCGUUAACUGGUCUGAGAGGAUGAUCAGUCACACUGGAACUGAGACACGGUCCAGACUCCUACGGGAGGCAGCAGUGGGGAAUAUUGGACAAUGGGCGAAAGCCUGAUCCAGCCAUGCCGCGUGUGUGAAGAAGGUCUUCGGAUUGUAAAGCACUUUAAGUUGGGAGGAAGGGCAGUAAGUUAUACCUUGCUGUUUGACGUUACCAACAGAAUAAGCACCGGGCUAACUUCGUGCCA